AGUGAACGCUGGCGGUAGGCCUAACACAUGCAAGUCGAACGGCAGCACAGUAAGAGCUUGCUCUUACGGGUGGCGAGUGGCGGACGGGUGAGGAAUACAUCGGAAUCUACUUUUUCGUGGGGGAUAACGUAGGGAAACUUACGCUAAUACCGCAUACGACCUACGGGUGAAAGCAGGGGAUCUUCGGACCUUGCGCGAUUGAAUGAGCCGAGGUCGGAUUAGCUAGUUGGCGGGGUAAAGGCCCACCAAGGCGACGAUCCGUAGCUGGUCUGAGAGGAUGAUCGGCCACACUGGAACUGAGACACGGUCCAGACUCCUACGGGAGGCAGCAGUGGGGAAUAUUGGACAAUGGGGGCAAGCCUGAUCCAGCCAUACCGCGUGGGUGAAGAAGGCCUUCGGGUUGUAAAGCCCUUUUGUUGGGAAAGAAAAGCAGCAGGUUAAUACCCCGCUGUUCUGACGGUACCCAAAGAAUAAGCACCGGCUAACUUCGUG
rnacentral:rRNA from 1 species